UCUGCCACCGAAUACAUUAGCAUGGGAAAUGGAAUAGGACCCUGGGACGUUUUCAGUUGGUUUUGGCAGCGCGAGGACUAGGGAAAGGKGKGGGKRGGGAUAGUUGGGGGCAUUAAUAUUUAAUUGUCAGAGGUGAAAUUCUUGGAUUUAUGAAAGAUUWMCYUCUGCGAAAGCAUCUGCCAAGGAUGUUUUCAUUAAUCAAGAACGAAAGUUAGGGGAUCGAAGACGAUCAGAUACCGUCGUAGUCUUAACCAUAAACGAUGCCGACCAGCGAUUAGGAGACGUUGAAUACAAAACACCACCAUCGGCGCGGUCGUCCUUGGCGUCUGUCCCUUUCAACGGGGGCAGGCGCGAGGGCGGUUUAGCCCGGUGGCACCGGUGAAUGACUCCCCUAGCUUCUUGUGUGUWUUC
rnacentral:rRNA from 1 species